GGUGGUGCCUUGAACACACAGCUGUGCAUGCAAGCGCGCUGAUUUUUCUGCAUUUUUAACCACAGCUGUGUUUACAAAUGUGUUGCAGCUGAUUGGGUAAUACCUCUGACACGCCCACCAAACGGGAAGCCCGUUGUCCAACGUUGCACAAUGUUGAUUGAAAAACUUAUAAUUAAUAACUAAUUUACAAAGUUUGAGAGAACCCAGCUUUCUUUGCAGCACUAUGAAAGUGUUUGUUUUUCUGUUCUGUGACUUUAUUUUAUAACCCACUGGGAUGACCGGAGGCAGUAUGUGGAGUCAGUUUGCCGCGUUCCUGUUACGCUAAUGUUAGCAACCGUUAGCUAACGUAAGCUAACGUAAGGUAUCACCAGUGGCUGAAACUUUUCCAGACAGUCGUCAACACUUAUGAUUUUUCAUCUGGGGCUGCUCCUUAUUACAUGCGCUUUGGUCUGUGUACCUGAGCGCUGAGUUUCUUCCAGCUUCAAAGACAUCUAGGUAAGAUGUAUCCUGAAAUAGUGUUGAUGCAUGGCUGAUUUUUCGUGUUUCAUUUUAUCGGGUGAACCUAAUAAAACCCUCAGCCCUUAUAUUGCAGACACAAGUUGCCUCAUCUGAAGUGGCUGUAAUAUGUAUUUGUAAAGGAAUAUUUUUCCACUGUAUUAAUAAAAGUUGGUGAGGAAUGUU